rnacentral:rRNA from 1 species
UACGGAGGGUGCAAGCGUUGUUCGGAAUUAUUGGGCGUAAAGGGCGUGUAGGUGGCUUACCAAGUCUGGUGUGAAAUCCCACGGCUCAACCGUGGAACUGCAUUGGAAACUGGUGAGCUCGAGUAUUGGAGGGGGUCGCGGAAUUCCCGGUGUAGAGGUGAAAUUCGUAGAUAUCGGGAGGAACACCAGUGGCGAAGGCGGCGACCUGGCCAUUUACUGACACUGAGACGCGAAAGCGUGGGUAGCAAAC